GAUGAACGCUAGCGGCAGGCCUAACACAUGCGAGUCGAGGGAGAAGCCCUUUCGGGGGCAGAAACCGGCGCACGGGUGCGUAACGCGUAUGCAACCUACCUUUCACAGGGGGAUAGCCCGAAGAAAUUUGGAUUAAUACCCCAUAAUAUUAUUGGAUGGCAUCAUUUGAUAAUUAAAACUGCGGUGGUGAAAGAUGGGCAUGCGUCCUAUUAGCUAGUUGGAGUGGUAACGGCACCCCAAGGCUACGAUAGGUAGGGGUCCUGAGAGGGAGAUCCCCCACACUGGUACUGAGACAGGGACCAGACUCCUACGGGAGGCAGCAGUGAGGAAUAUUGGUCAAUGGUCGGAAGACUGAACCAGCCAUGCCGCGUGCAGGAAGAAUGCCUUAUGGGUUGUAAACUGCUUUUAUAUGGGAAGAAUAAGGCGUACGUGUACGUUGAUGACGGUACCAUAUGAAUAAGCAUCGGCUAACUCCGUG
rnacentral:rRNA from 1 species